rnacentral:rRNA from 1 species
GAGGGUAAACCCGGGGAACUGAAACAUCUAAGUACCCGGAGGAAGAGAAAGAAAAAUCGAUUUCCUAAGUAGCGGCGAGCGAACGGGAAAGAGCCCAAACCAGAAACUUGUUUCUGGGGUUGCGGAUAGAUCAUAAAAGAAGAGGUAUCUUAAUCGAAGAGGGCUGGAACGCCCUACCAUAGAAGGUAAUAGUCCUGUAGGUAAAAAGAGAAAACUUCAAGAUCUAAUCCAGAGUACCACGAGACACGUGAAACCUUGUGGGAAGCAGGGAGGACCACCUCCCAAGGCUAAAUACUACCUAGUGACCGAUAGUGAAGCAGUACCG